UUAAAUUGAAGAGUUUGAUCAUGGCUCAGAUUGAACGCUGGCGGCAGGCCUAACACAUGCAAGUCGAACGGUAACAGGAAGCAGCUUGCUGCUUCGCUGACGAGUGGCGGACGGGUGAGUAAUGUCUGGGAAACUGCCUGAUGGAGGGGGAUAACUACUGGAAACGAUAGCUAAUACCGCAUAAUGUCGCAAGACCAAAGAGGGGGACCUUCGGGCCUCUUGCCAUCGGAUGUGCCCAGAUGGGAUUAGCUUGUUGGUGGGGUAACGGCUCACCAAGGCGACGAUCCCUAGCUGGUCUGAGAGGAUGACCAGCCACACUGGAACUGAGACACGGUCCAGACUCCUACGGGAGGCAGCAGUGGGGAAUAUUGCACAAUGGGCGCAAGCCUGAUGCAGCCAUGCCGCGUGUAUGAAGAAGGCCUUCGGGUUGUAAAGUACUUUCAGCGGGGAGGAAGGGAGUAAAGUUAAUACCUUUGCUCAUUGACGUUACCCGCAGAAGAAGCACCGGCUAACUCCGUGCCAGCAGCCGCGGUAAUACGGAGGGUGCAAGCGUUAAUCGGAAUUACUGGGCGUAAAGCGCACGCAGGCGGUUUGUUAAGUCAGAUGUGAAAUCCCCGGGCUCAACCUGGGAACUGCAUCUGAUACUGGCAAGCUUGAGUCUCGUAGAGGGGGGUAGAAUUCCAGGUGUAGCGGUGAAAUGCGUAGAGAUCUGGAGGAAUACCGGUGGCGAAGGCGGCCCCCUGGACGAAGACUGACGCUCAGGUGCGAAAGCGUGGGGAGCAAACAGGAUUAGAUACCCUGGUAGUCCACGCCGUAAACGAUGUCGACUUGGAGGUUGUGCCCUUGAGGCGUGGCUUCCGGAGCUAACGCGUUAAGUCGACCGCCUGGGGAGUACGGCCGCAAGGUUAAAACUCAAAUGAAUUGACGGGGGCCCGCACAAGCGGUGGAGCAUGUGGUUUAAUUCGAUGCAACGCGAAGAACCUUACCUGGUCUUGACAUCCACGGAAGUUUUCAGAGAUGAGAAUGUGCCUUCGGGAACCGUGAGACAGGUGCUGCAUGGCUGUCGUCAGCUCGUGUUGUGAAAUGUUGGGUUAAGUCCCGCAACGAGCGCAACCCUUAUCCUUUGUUGCCAGCGGUCCGGCCGGGAACUCAAAGGAGACUGCCAGUGAUAAACUGGAGGAAGGUGGGGAUGACGUCAAGUCAUCAUGGCCCUUACGACCAGGGCUACACACGUGCUACAAUGGCGCAUACAAAGAGAAGCGACCUCGCGAGAGCAAGCGGACCUCAUAAAGUGCGUCGUAGUCCGGAUUGGAGUCUGCAACUCGACUCCAUGAAGUCGGAAUCGCUAGUAAUCGUGGAUCAGAAUGCCACGGUGAAUACGUUCCCGGGCCUUGUACACACCGCCCGUCACACCAUGGGAGUGGGUUGCAAAAGAAGUAGGUAGCUUAACCUUCGGGAGGGCGCUUACCACUUUGUGAUUCAUGACUGGGGUGAAGUCGUAACAAGGUAACCGUAGGGGAACCUGCGGUUGGAUCACCUCCUUACCUUAAAGAAGC
rnacentral:rRNA from 1 species